GUGCUUACUUCAGCCAACAUAUACUAAAAUUGGAACAAUACAGAGAAUUAGCAUGGCUCACGCACACAGGUGACAAGCAAAUUUGUGAAGUGCUCCAUAUUUUU
rnacentral:snRNA from 1 species